rnacentral:misc_RNA from 1 species
AAAUUAUUGUGGAAUAGAGUCCACAUGUUGCCGCCAUAUUUAUACCAACGAUUUUCUUCUGUACGUGAUCCAAAAAGCUUGAGUAUUCGUGUUUUUUUAUUUUUUGUUACGCCUUUUAAGGAAUUUGUUUUUUUCUUAUCAGCGGAUUCUUUACUACAGUAAAUAAAGACGCAAUUAAUAAAAUUAUUGUAGUUAGUACAACAAAAUUACAGCACGCUCCAGCGGGUUCCUUUACAUAGUGCGAACAAAAUUGAAGCGGUAUUUGGUCGUCUAUAAUUUGUCUUUAAAAGGUCGGCGUAAAUUUUAAUUACAUUCCUGUGACAGUGAAAAGUGUAAAAUGCUCGGAUAUUUAUAAGCCAACUAAACAUUUUACAAGACGUUGGAAUGGAGGAGUCGUUCUAGUGACAUAUGUUUAAUCAUUUCGUAACAACAACCAAAGAUAUGCUGAUUAUUAAGUGAACUACUCAGGAAUUAUAUGGUAUUAAUAAGAGGACUAACAUCAAAGGAAAUUCGCUGAUAUAGUUGAUGUACAUACAUCUAAUGAUGUGAAGUGCGGAAGAAAUAGUAGCAAUAAAACCAAUUUGUGGUGACUAGGAAACUCACCAUACCUUACAAAGAUAUCACACCACGCAAGGGUUUUCCAAAAACAACUACUGAUUAAAGAGCAAGAAAAAUUCAAACGGCUAUAGUCACAUACUUCUCGCCAGGAUGUCUCAGUCAAAUAUAUUGUGUGAUGUGGAACCAGCGGAUUCAAUGGAAGAAGCAAUCGAAAGUGAUCACUUUGCAAAUAUUAAUAUAGCAACGGUCGGUGUUGGAUAUCCACAAUUUGGAAUUCUAGUCAGAGGUGAUCCAUACGAAGAUGAGGGUGAUACGAAAAGAAAACAUCGCCAGGAAAUUUUGCUGCAAAAUAUCGAGGAUGUUUUCAAAAGAGAAAAUAUAGUCAUUCAUUCUGAUUCCCACCUGCCCAAUCCUAAGGAAAUUUCGGAUGAAAAUGAUGAUUUAUCUACGUACACCACUAGAAACGUAUUUGCAGAUUCAACAGUGCCAUUAACCUCAACGCCCGGCUCGUUAACUAUGGUUUCUACAAGAAAACGAAGGCACACAGUUAAGCAAGUUAACUCUGCAAUGAAUUCCAACAUUAUAAAUCAAAAUGUGGUGGGUCAUAUGGGCAAUGUGAAUACUGAUGCUCAACACUUCCCGGGGGCUUUCAGUAAUAACCAAGUACCAUUUACCCAGCAACGAAAUCAUCGUCAAAAAUAUAUAAAUAGAACUGAACUGUCACAAAUACAGACCGCCGGCGGCAUAAGUACUAGUGCCAGUAAUACAAUUUGCUAUAAACCUGUUGAAAUGAUGGAGGAACCUGUUAAACCGCGACGUUGGGAACAAAAGCAGGUACAAAUAAAAACGAUGGAAGGUGAAUUUAGUGUCACUAUGUGGGCCUCGGGCAAUUCCGACGAUGAGGCUUCGAAUCAAGAGCAGGAGACGGACUACCAGGAUUUUAUAACUUGUGAGGAACGAGAAAUCGAAAACGAAUGUAGUGUUACUGAUUCUGUGCAGGGAUUUGUGCCUUCCAUCGACAGUAAUGGUUUUCAGGACCAACAAGAACAAUUGAUGCAACGACAUAUAAUUUUACAGCAACAGCAGGAACUACAAUCCCAACAUGUUUUAGUUGAAAAUUCUGUGGAUGCGGGAGACUCGUCCAGAACUACCACAGAGGCUGGAUGCUCUACAAUUAUGCCCACAAUAAUAGGUUUAGAUCCAACGGAACAUCAACCGUUGUCCGAGUAUGCGGAUACCAGCAGUAUAGACAAUAAAUUAAAAAAGACUGUUUCACAUAGUAGAGCCGACAACACUCUUAUUACAACGGAUGAAGACGAUAAAGAUGUGGUUUUACCAGUUUCACGCACUACUGUAAUGACCACGCCGCUUAUUCAUCCUGCUAAUACUGCUGUGAUCACGAUGACCAGUAUAGAUGACGGUAGCCUAUCAACCACAGCCUUACCCGUAGGGGUUGUUUUACAAUCAAAUUCUCAUACUAUGUCUUCUUCACCACCACCAUUGAGUUAUAGUAACAAAAUAAAUACUGCUGCCGCUUCAGAAACGAAUUGCAACGGCCCUGGCGAAAAACGCAUUGCAUGUCCACAAAAAGGAUGUUAUAAAUUUUUUCGUGACAACUCUGCAAUGCGUAAACACCUUCAUACCCACGGACCACGGGUCCAUGUCUGUGCUGAAUGCGGUAAAGCGUUUGUCGAAAGCUCCAAGUUAAAGCGCCAUCAGCUUGUGCACACCGGGGAGAAACCAUUUCAGUGCACUUUUGAAGGUUGUGGUAAACGAUUCUCAUUGGAUUUUAAUUUAAGAACUCAUGUAAGGAUUCACACCGGUGAUCGGCCGUAUGUUUGUCCAUUUGACGGUUGCAACAAAAAGUUCGCCCAGUCCACAAACUUGAAAUCACAUAUAUUAACACACGCAAAAACCAAGCGAAAUUCGCUAGGUGGGAGCCGCAGUAAUAUCAAUAACGAUUCUAAUAGCCCGAUACAGAUAACUCCACAAAACCUUAUAAAAGUCGAAUUGAAUGAAAUGGACUCCAACUCUUCUUAUGUUGUGUACACGGAUUAAAAUAUGGUUUCGUCAUCAUGAAGUAAUUUAUUUAUUCGGAUGUUAAGAACACUUAUCUUUCGAUAUAAUGGGCAUAGAUGAAGGGUUUCCUUCCAUGUUUUAUCUUUAACAAGGAUAAAAAUUCGAUUGAAUGAUUUCAAUGAAUUACAUUUACCCUACAUUUAGUUUCCAGUUUCUAUAUAACAAUUUCAAUAAAUGCACUUAACGUAAAUAUGCAUAGACAGAUAUGCAUUGCUGUCGCGAAACUUUUUGGACCAGUCGUAACUAUAUUGAAGUGAUACUAAUGAUAACACGGUAUGAAUGAUGUAAAAAUCCGUGACAUUGUCUAUGGGUCCCAUUUUUUGUAAAUUUUAACAUGGCACAAAUAAAAAAUUUACUGAGAAUGUUUGUAGAUCGCAAAAGUCCUAGAGAUUUAAGCAUCGCUCGUAUGCCAUAAAAAAUGUAAAUUUGAUUUAACAUUUUUUAUUUUAAAUUUUUUCAUACUAAUGAUAGUAAGGCGAAGAAGACAAACGCCAUGUUUCCAUAUUCUAUCUGACGAGUCCAUAUUUUUAUAACUACUUAUUUAUAAAUAUAAUAUUGAAAGCAGGAAAUGGCUCCAUAAUAUAAUCUUUCUGCUUUUGUUGCUAUUCCUUUAUUACAUCUUCAAGUUAGUAUUGCAUGUAAACUAGGGCUGGGACUAUUCGUAUAUACUGAUAUUCCGGUUAAUAUCCGCUCACUGGGUUAUCCAGAUAUUCUAAAAUGUUUUUAAACGGAUUGCUUAAAUUGUUCUCAAAACGAAUAAAACAACAUUUCAUUAAUACAUAAACAAUUUUUAUUUUUAGAUUCGAACAUCCGGCUAUUCGGUUGGUAUCGGUUCAUUUUGUUAUCCGGAUAGUAUCCGCAUUAUUUAAUCCGAUUAUCUGAAUUAACCGGAUAUCAAAAAGUCCGGAUAGAAGUCCCAGCCAUAGUAUAAAUAAAUUCAAUUAAAGUUCUUAGCACUUUGUUUAAAAAUAGUACAAAAAAUGCGUGACUAAUUUUCAUAAAUAUGUGUCCAACGGGAUAUAGAAGAAUGGCAAGACCAAUCAUCACACAAUUGAAAUAUAUACAUAUAUAUAUAUUUUUUAUAAAAGAUUAGGUGGAGCAAUAGUUUUAACAUAUUAGGCUAGGACAAACGCUAAAUGAUGACGUACACUUUUUUAUUCUAUACCGUCGUGAACCAGCAUCUCAUGUUGCAGUAAAAAUAAGAAUAUCUUAGUAGUAGAGUGAUUGGCUCGGUUUUUUGCAAUAUUUUGGAGAGCUUUUAUCUGAUUUUUUUUUUUUUCAAAUCUUGAAUAAACCGCAGUUUUGUUACCGUAUAAACCGGGUUUUUCAUCUAGAAUAUUUAUACAACUGCACCUUCACUGUAAAUUCAAUACAUUUUUUAUUUUGUUGAAACCGCAAAUAUAGCUUUUUUACCAAUCUUGCUCUUCAAUACAACCAACUUCCCUUCAAAGAUGCUUUUUUGAUAAACGUAUGUUUUGCAAAUUUGAGUAAAUCAAUGUGCUUUUAAAUCAGUGGUGCACAUGGGAGUCUCAUGGAGCCAAUCGGCUUUCACGUACAAGUCGUCUGCGCGAAGCUACCGAACUUCACUCGAGUUUAAAGCAUACACUUUAAAACACUUAAGCCAACAUGCAGCUAUGUAAGUGGAAAAUGAGAAGCUCUGUUUAUUGUUUAUUGUUUAUUGUUUAUUGAAAUGCAUCUAUUUAAAAUACCUGCAGAUUUACCAUACGAGUUUCUUAAUUUCGAUAUUAUUUUUUUGAAUAAAGUAUUAAAAACACAGA